rnacentral:lncRNA from 1 species
UCAAGUGAGAAUAAGCAGUCUCCAACAAGUAUCCUCCCCUUGGCUCUUCCUGAGGCCUCUAAAUCCAGGGAGGAGGAAAUGGUGUAGUUUGCUUUGCAUGUUUCUGUUGUAUUUCUGUGGCACUUGAUUGCCCUGGUGGUGUUUACCUCACAAAUGCUGCCUAAUUCAGGCCAGAGGGAAGGCAGAGCCAGUGAAAAGAGCUCCACGGGCUAGAAGAGGGUGGACCCAGGAAGAGAUGGCCUCCCCCUGUCCCUGACUCAACUGGAGCUCAGUUCACUCUGCUUUGAAGGAGUAGGAGGAGAACACUACUCACAAAAAGGAGGGCAAGAACCGGCUUGUUCACCAUUGUAUUCCUGCACCACAGCAUAAGCACUCAAUCAUUAUGGGUUAAAGGCUGAAAUUCAAAAAGAGAAAGGGAGAUGUUAGACACCUACUGACCAAGGAGGUGCCCUCCAUUCUGCUUAACCACCGCCCAGGCCAGUCAUUUCUCUCCCUGGAAGACUUUGAGUCAUGCACGCGCAAGGAAAAUGAGAUUGCUGCUGUGGAGGACAUGCCCAAAGACCAAACCGACCAGCUACAUCUCAUGGGAGAUAGAAUGAGAUCUCAACCAGUCAAAAUUGAGAAGGGCACGCCGUGCUCUCCUCCAAAUCCAAAGUGGCAUAUUCACAAAUCUCUGCAGUUUUCAAGAUCAGUAUCAGGAAGGAGAAAAGGAAGAAGAGGGAAAGCCCACAGUUACAUAGGUGUAAAUAUGAAAUGACUAAUGUGAUCGUCAAAGGAACAGAGUUGACAUAGAUAUAAUGGGACUAAAUUUUUUAUAUCAUAAAAAAGUUGGUUUAUGAUAAAAUUUAAGUUCACUUACAGAAAAACAGGGAGAGCUACAUUCUUGCUUUUUUGUGGGCUUUGAAAUUCACAGGAAAUAUAAAUAUACUUACAAAAAUAUAAAUAUACUUACAAAAAUAUAAAUACACUCACAACAAACAUAAAACAUCUAAAAAGGGGCCUCGUCCAUAGGAGGUUCUGAAGAAAUUGGCUUCCCUAAGCUGGAUUAUCUAAAUUUUUAUGCUAAUACUUAUCUCUAAAAUCAGAGACAUUUGUAACUUGGCUCCAGUAAUGAGUAAGGCUUACUUUGAAAAUGCAAACAAAUCAAUCAACAAUCUUUAUAACAUCCAACAACAAUAGAAGAAGAGCACUGUCCUUCCAGAAAGUGACACUGUGAUUAGUAAAACAAGAUAAUGUCCAUCAUUACUAAUGGCCAUUGCCCUCAUGGUAGUGAAGGUGGAACAGCAAUAUAAAACCCAUAGGCUCUAUCUCCCAAGCAUACGCAAAUCUCAGCCACUUCUCAUCAUUUCCAUGACUGUCACCCCAAUCCAAGCCACCAUGUCUCACCUGGACAUUGCCCAGUCUCCCUGCUUCUGCUCUUAUCCCUAUAGUCUGCUCUCAACAUAGAGUGGCCCUUCCCUUUUAAGAGCAUAAAUAGGAUUAUGUUACUCUUCCCCUUAAAACACUCCGAAGUAGCUUAAGUCUCACCAUCCUUUCCUUAAGAGUGAGCUUGAUUCCAAAGAAUAGAGUAGGAAAAGGUGAAAAUAGUAACUUCAUGGUGGAGAAAUCUGGAAAACCUACCUCAACCAAGUGAUGAAAGUUAACCUCACUAGAGACAUCAUAUGGAUGCAGGUACCUGUUGAUAUGAUGUGAUAAGAAGGGCACUCACUUCUGUAUUCUUUCUGAUGACUCAUUGCCCUAGUCCAAUCAUAAGAAAAACAAAAGACAAACCCAGAUUGGGAAGAUUCUAUGGGGUACCUGACUGCUAUUCCUCAAGACAGUCAAGGUCAUGAAAACAAGAAGACUGCCAAAGACCAGAGAAGACUGAGGAGGCAUGGCAACUAAGUGCAAUGUGGUACCAUAUAUUGAAUCCUGGAACAGAAAGAGGACACUGAUGGAAAAACUAGCAAAUCCAAAUAAAACCUGACGUUUAUUAACAGUAAUAAGCCAAUGUCAAUAUUCUAGUUUUAACAAAUGAACCGCGGUAAUGUAUGAUCUUAAUAACAGGGGAAACUAUAUAAGGGAUAUACAGCAACUUU